GCAGUAGUAGUCUAGCGGCAGGACAGGAGCUUCCCAAGCUUCUAACCCGGGUUCAAAUCCCGGCUACUGCA
rnacentral:tRNA from 1 species